AAAAGGAAAACAGAGGAGAGGGACCACUGGAUAUAACAAUAACGUGCUGUUUCAAAAUGGCGAUGUUUGGAAACGCUAGAGUUUUACUUUGAAAGUCUACCCGGACGUUGCAUAUUUGUUGUUACUAAGCGUUGCUAACUUGACCGCGGAGACUACACGUCUAAAAAUGACGCCAAAGGGCCUUGACCAAGCGUCAAAUAUGUGACGAGUCGGAGGAAGCUUUCACCUUUCACAACGAUGCUGGCGCAGAACUACAGCUGGAACCUUUCAGAAAUAUUCUGAAUGUAUACGGGAAACAGAAAAAUAACCCUGCACCGCUGGACUGAGCUGAGUGUACCUGCAGGACAUCAGAUCAGCUGUAACCAAUGACAACUGGAGGAUUCAGAGUGUCCUCCACGCCGGGUUAAAGCUCUUGUGUCAGCCCCAGCUGUCUGCGGAGGAGAGCGUCUCUGUGAAUAGACCUUCCCCGUGCGCUGAUGAGCCGAAACAUCCGACGUGAGAAAAGAGCAGGUGUCAAUAAUAACAUUAAUGAUCGCUCCGUUCCUUUUAGACAAAAUAAAUCAGAAGCAGCCUAUUCACUGUGCUUUCCCUUUAAGAAGUAAAAGAUUUAAGGGACUAGAUAGAAUGAUAUAAAUCUUUCUCUCAUAUCUUCUUUAUUCACCUUCUUUCCUCGCUGUGAGGACUUUGUCCCAUUACCUGCUCCUACAGUGCCAAAUGAUUGACUCCCUCUGUUUAUCCACUUUAAUCUGCCAGGCCUGCUGAAUCAAUGUUAAUGUGUUUUAUGAAAUGUUAACUCGCUGCAAAAGCUGCUCUUCCUGAUUAAAUAUUGACAGAGAGGCAUCAUGCUUUGGUGGGUUUCUGAAUGCAUCGAUCUCACCUGAACCUUGUACCUGCGCCAAAUCCCAACAGAACAGUUAUAAUGUUGGUAAUGAGGCUUUUCCUACUUCCAGCUUCUGACCGUCAACAAACAAAAUAAUAUUUUCCCACCUUGUGUUUCAUUAGUGGUGCAACGGAUCACAAAACUCACAGUUUGGAUGAUAUCGUGGUUUUGAGUCACGGAUCGGAUCAUUUUAUCGAUGAGCAAAAAGAAAAAGUUAGGAUUAAAUUGGCUCUGAUGUAGCCGUCUCUGUCGGUAUUCACCACUCUGUAGUCCCGCCCACAGCACUACCUGAUUGGUUACACGUAACGGCCUAACAACACUGAAGGCUGCUGUGAGCAGAGAGACCAAGCUGCUACGGUGAGCGAGCGGAGCGAUGCGUCAAAGGGAAACUACAAAUAUUACUGAAGCUGCAAUAAACAUCACAACCUUAUUGUCUAUUUGAACGAUGUCCCUACAGACUACAGGGUUUCACAGCGAAGGCUUUUAAAUUAGUCGCUCUCCCCUAACCCAGUCACUGCGCUUUAGAGUUAAACAUAGCAUGCAUCUGUC